GGCGGUUUCAGUUGGUAGAGCAUCAGCUUAACACGCUGAUUGUUGUCGGUUCGAGCCCGGCCAGAGUCA
rnacentral:tRNA from 1 species